AACUGAAUCUUAUGGAUUUUAUUCCUAUUUUCAGGGAAAUUCAAAUGGCAUUGCUACUGUGGAUGUUUCAGCAGGGUUUGUGGGACUAGAAAGCUAUGUGGAGAUACCAGCAGUCUUCCUUACAGCAUUUGCAACAUAUGCAGGACCUUUGCUUUGGGCCAUUCAUCUUCUGUGCUACUUGAGUUCUGAAGUCAGCAGGAAUUCUGCAGCAGUGGGUCAUGGAUGUUUCUGCUAUGCACUGAUGCGUUCCAUCCCAGUUGCCAUCUACAUCGUUUUGGUAACAGGCCUGCGGUACCACCUGUUCAUAUGGAGUGUCUUCUCACCAAAGCUGCUUUACGAGGGAGUGCAUGUGUUCAUCACAGCCGCUAUCUGCUUGUUCUUUACAGCCAUGGACCAGAACCACUCUCAGAAGGUGCAAGACUGAAAAUAAGUGUGUAGCACACAGUUCUGUACUGUGAUGCCUUGUGUGUCUCUGGAAUGUAAGAAGGACGACAGUGGCUUCAAAUUGUUGUGCAGAGUGUGAAGAACAAUGUUGUGUAUUUUAGCCAGUUCCACAUAGGGCUUGAAGGGCUUGUCCCGUGUUACACAGCUUGCUUUAAAAAUGCUGAAUUGAAAUAAACUGUUUUAUCUUAUCAUAGAUAAUUUUGUUCUUUAGCUGUCAUUAUGACAAUGCCUGCAUAACUGAGUUGCAAUAUUACAUGACAGUCAAUUUUGCUGUAUGCCAAAUAUCAAGUUGUAUUUUUAAUAUGUAACUUGGAGAGAUAUCUAACACUGAUUUUUUUUUUCCCCAAUUCUUUAACGAUUUGGAAGCUAGAUUUAAAUGAACUUCCUUGAGCUUUAAAGAAAAAUACUCUCUUUGGUAAAAAGAUGAGCACUGUGUCUCAUAUUAAGUCAUUCUUGAGCUUCUGUUUUUUUUUAAUCAAUUUUUAUGUCUGGCUCUUUUCACUGACUUGGAAGAUGAAGAAGCAAAAGUUCAUUAAAUGCUGCCCCCCCAAAAUCUUAUAACCUUAUAUAAGGGUUACCCUAACCCUAAGUCAGAAAUAUGUGUGUAUUUGCAAAUGUGAAUGUGGUUUCUUUUUUUCCAAGACACAGACAAUGAGAGAUUUUUGUUUCACACAUCUAUAUAAUAAACAUGUAGGAAGAAGGCACUCUUCUACACUCACUAGUAAAGGCAGUGAGUGUAGACAAAAAAAAACACCAAAACGCUAAGUGGUUUAAUCAUUGAAACUUGAAAAAAGGCCUAACUGUUCAAUGUUUUUGAUUUAAUUAAAAUAAUUGCAUACACAUAAAUGCAAUUUGAAUUUCAAAAGGUAGUUCUUGAUGUAGGUAUGGAGCAGCUGAUCACAGGCACUGAAAAAAUAUUUUGCACAUGUGAUUUCUUUUUUAGCUUCUUAGACUAUGGCCUCUUAAAAAUAUGCAAGAUGUCUUGUUGCUGUUCAACAGAGCUCAUUAGCCAUGAGUUUUGUUUUGUUCCUUGUGUGUAUCGAACAUAUAAUUAAAUAAUUCGUACAGA